AUUGAACGCUGGCGGCAUGCCUUACACAUGCAAGUCGAACGGUAACAGGUCUUCGGAUGCUGACGAGUGGCGAACGGGUGAGUAAUACAUCGGAACGUGCCCGAUCGUGGGGGAUAACGGAGCGAAAGCUUUGCUAAUACCGCAUACGAUCUACGGAUGAAAGCAGGGGACCGCAAGGCCUUGCGCGGACGGAGCGGCCGAUGGCAGAUUAGGUAGUUGGUGGGAUAAAAGCUUACCAAGCCGACGAUCUGUAGCUGGUCUGAGAGGACGACCAGCCACACUGGGACUGAGACACGGCCCAGACUCCUACGGGAGGCAGCAGUGGGGAAUUUUGGACAAAGGGCGAAAGCCUGAUCCAGCCAUGCCGCGUGCAGGAUGAAGGCCUUCAGGUUGUAAACUGCUUUUGUACGGAACGAAAAGACUCUUUCUAAUAAAGAGGGUCCAUGACGGUACCGUAAGAAUAAGCACCGGCUAACUACGUG
rnacentral:rRNA from 1 species